rnacentral:rRNA from 1 species
AUUGAACGCUGGCGGCAGGCCUAACACAUGCAAGUCGAGCGAGCGGCGGACGGGUGAGUAAUGUAUGGGGAUCUGCCCGAUUGAGGGGGAUAACUACUGGAAACGGUGGCUAAUACCGCAUACUAUCGGAUGAACCCAUAUGGGAUUAGCUAGUAGGUGGGGUAAAGGCUCACCUAGGCGACGAUCCCUAGCUGGUCUGAGAGGAGGACCAGCCACAUUGGAACGUAUACACGGCCCAGACUCCUACGGGAGUCAGAAGUGGGGAAUGUUGGACAAUGGGCGCAAGCCUGAGGCAGCCAGGCCGCGUGUAUGAAGAAGGCCUUCGGGGUGUAAAGUACUUUCAGCGGGGAGGCGUUACCCGCAGAAGAAGCACCGGCUAACUCCGUGCCAGCAGCCGCGGUAAUAC